CCGAGUUUACAACUCCCAAACCCCUGUGAACAUACCACUUGUUGCCUCGGCGGAUCAGCCCGCUCCCGGUAAAACGGGACGGCCCCGCCAGAGGACCCCUAAACUCUGUUUCUAUAUGUAACUUCUGAGUAAAACCAUAAAUAAAUCA
rnacentral:misc_RNA from 1 species